rnacentral:rRNA from 1 species
AUUGAACGCUGGCGGCAGGCCUGACACAUGCAAGUCGAACGGUAACAGGAAGAAGCUUGCUUCUUUGCUGACGAGUGGCGGACGGGUGAGUAAUGUCUGGGAAACUGCCUGAUGGAGGGGGAUAACUACUGGAAACGGUAGCUAAUACCGCAUAACGUCGCAAGACCAAAGAGGGGGACCUUCGGGCCUCUUGCCAUCGGAUGUGCCCAGAUGGGAUUAGCUAGUAGGUGGGGUAACGGCUCACCUAGGCGACGAUCCCUAGCUGGUCUGAGAGAAUGACCAGCCACACUGGAACUGAGACACGGUCCAGACUCCUACGGGAGGCAGCAGUGGGGAAUAUUGCACAAUGGGCGCAAGCCUGAUGCAGCCAUGCCGCGUGUAUGAAGAAGGCCUUCGGGUUGUAAAGUACUUUCAGCGGGGAGGAAGGGAGUAAAGUUAAAACCUUUGCUCAUUGACGUUACCCGCAGAAGAAGCACCGGCUAACUCCGUGCCAGCAGCCGCAGUAA